AGUUUGUUGUGAUAGUCAGCAUAAUAAAUUUCAAGCCUCUGACCUAUGAUGACUACACCUUCCCUCUGUGGGCAAACCGCAUUGGCUGGGGAAUAGCAUUAUCCUCAAUGAUCCUUGUGCCUGCCUACAUCAUCUAUAAAUUUAUGAAUGUGCGUGGGACCUUUAAGGAAAGGCUAGCUUACUGCAUCACACCUGAAAAUGAGCACCAACUCGUGGCCCAAGGAAAUGUCAGGCAGUUUAAGCUCCAACACUGGCUAACAAUAUGACAACCAACAGAUCAAGGAAAAAGCCCACGUUCAGCUAAACUGAGAAUACAGAAAAGUCAAGUUCAAAGCUCCCUCACUUAUGCUUGGACCAGGCUGGCCCAGAGCUUAUCUACUGACUCUUUGAGGGAAAAAUCUGCUCUCUGUUGUCAAUGCCUCCCUUCUAUUACUUGGCUUCAAAUGAUCUUUAAAGACUCCAUUUAAUUUUUCUUGCAUCCUUUGGUGCCAUGAGAUCCCUACAUGACCAAAACUUGUGAGUUUUGCUAUAGCCAGAAGUGGAGGAGGGGGGAGCAGAGGAAAAGAGCAAUCAGGAUAAGUUAAGUGCUUUUUUUAUUGUGAAGAAGUGAAUUAAACUUUUCUGACAGUAAUAACUUCUUCAGAUAUUCAUGCCACAACCUAUUUUAAACCAACACCACCUGAGCGCUCUUAGAGCUAAGGAAAGAGUACACCUCAGUUAUGACAAAAGAGCAAUUUUAACUACUCAUGUCAUUCAUUAGCUUUCUUGCCAUACUGUCCUUUGGGAUGUGAGUUUGCAUCCUUCUGAAAUGAAGACUCAGUGCUUCAUUUUCAGUGGUUUUUAUUAGUUCCUUCACUUGGUGAAGAACAUUGUCUUUGCUGUACACGUCUGUGCCAUUUUCUCACCAGUUCCAUUACACUGAAGCUGAAGAGCAGCAGGAACAAAUUCCUGUUACAGUUACUAGUGCAGAACACAGCUUAAUAUCACAGUGUACUUCAUGAAAGAGAAAUCCCCCUUUAUCAACAAUUGAAAUGGCUUUAUCAUAUGAUCCACACUCUGCAGACUUCUCCAGCUAGGCAUAACAGUUACAUCCAAAUAGACAGACUCCCAUCCUUUUCUUGAAUUUUGUUCCAAAUAAAGAAUGUAAAAUACAUAAGAGGAGAUAAUUUUUAGAAUUAUAAAAUUACCAAGU